UGAUUUCCUGGUGCAAAAUGCUUCAAAGCGCUAAAUGAAAAAUGACGAAGAUUUCCAGGAACUUAAAUGAUCAAUGCCGCUCCAAGUCAACUGAGCAAAACGAGCGCCGGAUGCCAGCGGAAAGUUAAAGGAAACGCAGCCCAGAUACGGAACACAAGCGGUUUGGCACAUAAGAAGAUACACGGAAUGGCAGAGGCCACACAGGCAGAGGCAGAGACAGAGGCAGGAGGUGGGAGUCAGCACGAGAUGCUGCCAGAACGUCGCGAACGUUGCCUGGCACAUAUGCCAAGUGCGGAGAAGGAGUCACAGUCGGAGCAGGAGCAAGAGCAGCCAGCAGCAGGAUAAAGCUGGAAUAAAACAAAAGAGUGAAGAUGCAAAUCGGUCGCCUGGAAGUCUGCCAGUUCCACGCUGUAGAUCUCUCCCUCUCUCUCCCUCUCUCUGUCUCUCUUUAAAAGUGUCUCGAAAGUGGUGCAAUAAAACGAGGUGAGCCGUAGAAGUUCAGACAGACAUCAGGAGCCAGAGAGACAGGAAUCGCACACAAACACACACACUUACACACAC